UUUAUUUUAUUUUUUUUAGACAGAGUCUCGCUCUGUCGCCCAGGCUGGAGUGCAGUGGUGCUAUCUCGGCUCACUGCAAGCUCUGCCUCCCGGGUUCACGCCAUUCUCCUCCUCAGCCUCCCAAGUAGCUGGGACUACAGGCGCCCGCCACCACGCCUGGCUAAUUUUUUGUGUUUUUAGUACAGACGGGGUUUCACCGUGUUAGCCAGGAUGGUCUCUAUCUCCUGACCUCAUGAUCCGCCCGCCUCGGCCUCCCAAAGUGCUGGGAUUACAGGCGUGAGCCACCACUCCCUGCCGUAAAACACCUAAUCUUUAAUGACACUCCUGUGCAUGUGAAAGCACUCUUGUUGGUGCAGCAGAAAGUGGACCUCACAAUACGCAUUGUGACUUUACCCUGAGACGUUGAUGAUGCUCCUAUUGCCAUGGUUAUGUGAUUGGGUAUAUCUUGCCCUUGGUCCUAACUGCCACUGUCUGUGCUGAGGUUUUCAAAGUUCAUAGCAGAUUGAACAUGCUUGCUGUCAUUUUCACAGAUUCUGGUCUUUCUUAUGGAGAACCUGAGUUCCUGCAUUAAAGUUCCCCCAGAAGAUCAACGGAAGGUGGAUUCCAAAGAGUGGGCAAGUGAGGACCCCUUCUCUGUUACCAAGGUGACCCCAAGGAACACAAUAAAUGGUAUGUAUUCUGGAAUCAUUCACUGGGUGUAAAAAAGAAA